rnacentral:rRNA from 1 species
AUACGUAGGGGGCAAGCGUUAUCCGGAAUCAUUGGGCGUAAAGGGUGCGUAGGCGGCUAGGUAAGCGUGGGGUGAAAGGCAUUGGCUCAACCGAUGUAAGCCUCGCGAACUGCUUAGCUUGAGUACAGGAGAGGAAAGCGGAAUUCCUAGUGUAGCGGUGAAAUGCGUAGAUAUUAGGAGGAACACCAGUGGCGAAGGCGGCUUUCUGGACUGAAACUGACGCUGAGGCACGAAAGCGUGGGGAGC